AGAGUUUGAUCAUGGCUCAGGAUGAACGCUAGCGGCAGGCUUAACACAUGCAAGUCGAGGGGUAAUCUUGGUGCUUGCACCAAGAACGACCGGCGCACGGGUGAGUAACGCGUAUGCAACCUGCCCUUAACUGGGGGAUAGCUUCCGGAAACGGAAAUUAAUACCCCAUAACAUUGCGAUGUCGCAUGGCAUUGCAAUUAAAGCUUCGGCGGUUAAGGAUGGGCAUGCGUGACAUUAGCUGGUUGGUGAGGUAACGGCUCACCAAGGCUACGAUGUCUAGGGGGCCUGAGAGGGUGGUCCCCCACACUGGUACUGAGACACGGACCAGACUCCUACGGGAGGCAGCAGUGAGGAAUAUUGGGCAAUGGGCGAAAGCCUGACCCAGCCAUGCCGCGUGCAGGAAGACAGCCCUACGGGUUGUAAACUGCUUUUGUACGGGAAGAAACCUUCGGACGUGUCCGGAGCUGACGGUACCGUACGAAUAAGCAUCGGCUAACUCCGUGCCAGCAGCCGCGGUAAUACGGAGGAUGCAAGCGUUAUCCGGAUUUAUUGGGUUUAAAGGGUGCGCAGGCGGAGAAUUAAGUCAGUGGUGAAAUCUUACCGCUUAACGGUAAAACUGCCAUUGAUACUGAUUCCCUUGAGUACAGUUGAGGUAGGCGGAAUGUGUAAUGUAGCGGUGAAAUGCUUAGAUAUUACACAGAACACCGAUUGCGAAGGCAGCUUACUAAACUGUUACUGACGCUGAGGCACGAAAGCGUGGGGAGCGAACAGGAUUAGAUA
rnacentral:rRNA from 1 species